rnacentral:rRNA from 1 species
UGCAGUCGUACGAGAGUUUUUACUCAAGUGGCGGACGGGUGAGUAACACGUGAGAAUCUGCCUUUAGGAGGGGGACAACAACUGGAAACGGUUGCUAAUACCCCAUAUGCUUUCGAGUGAAAUGAAUUUAUUCGCCUAAAGAGGAGCUCGCGGCUGAUUAGCUAGUUGGUGGGGUAAAGGCCCACCAAGGCGACGAUCCAUAGCUGGUUUGAGAGGAUGAUCAGCCACACUGGGACUGAGACACGGCCCAGACUCCUACGGGAGGCAGCAGUGGGGAAUAUUGGACAAUGGGCGCAAGCCUGAUCCAGCAAUACCGCGUGUGUGAAGAAGGCCUGAGGGUUGUAAAGCACUUUCAAUAGAGACGAAAAGCUCAGAGUUAAUAGCUCUGGGUCUUGACUUAACCUAUAGAAGAAGCACCGGCUAACUCCGUGCCAGCAGCCGCGGUAAUACG